AGGAGAGAACCAGCAGGGUUACCGAAACCGUAAUCAAGAAGCACCGAGGCAUUGAGGUAGAGAAAUUUGAAGGAAAAGCAAGAGUAUAUAUCCAUGGCCCAAAUCAAGAUGAAAUUAAGAAGACUAACGUACAAAUAUAGGAUGCCACAUCUCCUCGGAUAAAAGAGGGCAGGCGGAACUCAGAAAUCGAAGUGAAACAACAGAAAAAAGUGCGGAAAGAAACUGGGUAUCAUACUAGUCUUUUUCGCGGUCGAUUUGAAAUUUGUCCAUUUUUCGUGAAAUAGCAAAGCUCUAGAAAUGGAACAGAAUUUUUGGGGUUGACCUUCCACAUUUAAAAGUGUGGGUGUAUAGUUUGAGAUGCGUCACUGUCUAAAAGGAUUAUACAAGCAUGUUAUUAGGUUAUCGGUUUCUUCUUAUGUAAGUACCUAUAUCGCUGUCAUAACGUAUAUUUAUUCGUAAGUGCAAAUCAUUUAUGAAUGAAUCGUCGAUAGGUGCGGUUGUAUGUGUGUUCCGUUCGCGUGAAACGCUUUCUACGUGGAAAUGGUGAGUUGCUUUUUACCUUUUUGCUUAGGUGUAGCUUUGGGGAUUGUGUAUUUUGUAUCUCUUUGAAACAAAAUACAUGGGUGCGUCAAAAUACUUUCACCUCUAUUGCCUCUGAUGGAUACUAUUAGAGUCGACUCAUUUCUGCAGUCAAUUUAUUGGAGAUGAAGGAGUAGGCCAGGAAUGAUGGUAAUGUCCGAGUUGUACACUUCAAUAGUCAAUGUCUCAAUGAUGUUCCGGAAAUGGAGAGGUACCUACGCCAUCAAACGUUCGUGAUAUUUUCCGAGACGUUCCACUAUGUGGUUCUUAGAAGAGGUUACCACGUUCUCAUAUAUGAUUCCUAAUUCAAAAUUGCGGAGCUAAUCAACAUUUAGGAACCAAAUACACGGGUUCGUCAAACAAGCUUGUGAUAAAUUUUUUUUAAAGUAAAUUUACUUUUAUUGUCAACGAUUUUCUUGAGAUGGAGUAGUAAAGACGUCCGAGUUGUGCCUGGUUUCAGUCAUUAGAGAAAGUUCAGACGUUUUCAUAUGGCGAGAGAUGGACGCCAUCAAAUGAUCGCGAUGAGGUUUACGAUUCCGAUCACGUUUUGAUAUGUGAUUACUGCAAUUUAAAAUGGACCUCGCCAGCAACACUUUGGAACGGAAUACACAAGUUCGUCAAAUACUCGAACUCUGCUUCUGAUGGAUUUUUUCAGUGUCGCUUCACUUUGACUUUGUGGAGUUGAUUGCGAUGCUGUGCGAGAUGUAUACCUAUCCUUCCAGUCGUUAGGAGAGAUAACCACGUAGUCAUAUGGGGCACCUAGUUCAAUGGAUACAAUGGGACUCCAAAUUCGAAAUGGAAUUGGUCAACAUCACUUUGGUGGCUCGAUGUGACUGAGGAGGGAAAGCGGACUGUAGGUAUAGUCUUGUUGUUAGACCGAAUUAAUACAGUUAUGACGAGUCAUCAUCCUCGUACGAGUCUGUGGAAGGCGAGAUGCGUAGUACGGAAACCACUCUAUUUGUAGAAAUCUGCAAAAUACAAGGUGUUUUCUAAAAUUUCAAAAAAAAUUUUAAAUUCAUUAUUUAUGAAUGUCAGGGCCCUGUAGUUUGUAAUUGUUGAUUUGGUAUUCGAAAAUUAUUCAAUUUAAAGAGCAUUUUAUAAGUAAUCGAUGUGUGACUUGAACCAGGUCCUUACUCAUCUAAAGAUGUCGGAUAACUACUUGUGCAUAUUUGUGGUCAGAAUUCGUCCACAAAUUUUUGGGGGUGGUUUAUGCUUUGAAGCUAGGAAUUAAUUCUUGCAAGUAUUUGCAUUAAUAAACCGGUGGACAGCUUUUACGGUGAGAUGGCAACUUUGAUAUUGAAAGACUGCCCGGUAUUUAUUUAAAAUUGGGGCCUUCAAGGAAUGAAACGACGAACUUCGAAUUGGAUUUCAUGUUCUGGAAUCAGUAAAUUAUUAUAAUAUGUGAUAAUGAAAUAGCGAAAGCUGACAGGUCUUUGUGGCAUCUGCGAAUACUUAAUUAAAAAGUAACCAGCUUAUUCCUUUGGGAUAGAUCUUGUGUUGCCAUUUAAAUUCGACGUUUUGCUAACGGAAUGGACCUUCCAAUCGGUAGAUAAAGUUACCUCGGUUUCGUAUCUAAAACUUUAAUUUAAAAUGGAGCUGUCUAGCACUACUUUGGAACAGAAUACACGGACGAAGGAGUGAUCAUGGAAUGUUCUAGAUGCACGGGGAUGUCCAAAGACGUGAACACGUUUUCAAAAGUGAUUCGCAAUUCAAAUUCAAAAAGAUGCGAGCUACCACCACUUUGAAACAGAAUACACGGACGUUUUUUUGGGGAUGAAGGAGAAGGCCAUGGAAUGAUACUGUUGUCCGCCAAAUCAUCGUCGAUAAGUGCGGUUGUAUGUGUGUUCCGUUCGUGUGAAACGCUUUCUACGUGGAAGUGGUGAGUUUCUUUUACAUUUUUGCUUAGGUGUAGCUUUUUUUAAUUCAUUAUUUAUGAAUGUCAGGGCCCUGCAGUUUGUAAUUGUUGAUUUGGUAUUAAAAAAUAAUUCAAUUUAAAGAGCAUUUUAUAAGUAAUCGUUGUCACUUGAACCAGGGUCCUCAGAUGCUCACCAGAAACCGCAUAGAAAAUGUCACUACAGAUUCUCUUAGGUUCAAACAGUAAUUUCGUCCUUCUAGGAGACAUGUGUCCAGAAAUUUUUCUUACGAGGAUGGCGCAUCAUCUAAAGAUGUCAGAUAACUACUUGUGUAACUUUGUGGUCAGAAUUCGUCCACAAGCAAAUGUUUAUUUUUCCUAGGUUUCUCUUAUAGUUUUGAAGUUAGGAAUACUUGCAAGUAAUUUAAUUAUCCCAGCAUAAUAAUUGAUGUAGGGCGUUUUGCAGGAGAAUCGUCGUUUCAAUGUAAACAAAUCUCAAAUGUAUUAUUCUUUAUUGCAUUAGUAAACCAGUGGACCGCUUUUACGGUGAGAUGGCAACUUUGAUAUUCAAAGACUAACCGGUAUUUUUUUAAAAUUGGGGCCUUCAAGGAAUGAAUCGACGUCUUAAACUUCGAAUUGGAUUUAAUGUUCUGGUAUCAAUAAACUAUUAUAAAAUAUGCAAAAAGCGAAAGCUGCCAGAUCUAUGUGGCAUCUGCGAAUAAUUAACAAGUAACCAGCUUAUUCCUUUGGGAUAGAUCUUGUGUUGCCAUUUAGAUUCGACGUCUUGCUAAUGGAAUGGACCUUCCAAUCGGUAGAUAAAGUUGCCUCUG